GGUCGAUUAGCGCAGUUGGUUAGCGCGCUUCCUUGACAUGGAAGAGGUCAGGGGUUCGAAUCCCUUAUCGACCACCA
rnacentral:tRNA from 2 species